rnacentral:rRNA from 1 species
AUUGAACGCUGGCGGCAGGCCUAACACAUGCAAGUCGAACGGUAGCACAGAGAGCUUGCUCUCGGGUGACGAGUGGCGGACGGGUGAGUAACGUCUGGGAAACUGCCCGAUGGAGGGGGAUAACUACUGGAAACGGUAGCUAAUACCGCAUAACGUCACAGGACCAAAGUGGGGGACCUUCGGGCCUCACACCAUCGGAUGUGCCCAGAUGGGAUUAGCUAGUAGGUGGGGUAAUGGCUCACCUAGGCGACGAUCCCUAGCUGGUCUGAGAGGAUGACCAGCCACACUGGAACUGAGACACGGUCCAGACUCCUACGGGAGGCAGCAGUGGGGAAUAUUGCACAAUGGGCGCAAGCCUGAUGCAGCCAUGCCGCGUGUAUGAAGAAGGCCUUCGGGUUGUAAAGUACUUUCAGCGGGGAGGAAGGCGGUGAAGUUAAUAGCUUAACCGAUUGACGUUACCCGCAGAAGAAGCACCGGCUAACUCCGUGCCAGCCGCCGCCGUAA